AGAGUUUGAUCCUGGCUCAGAUUGAACGCUGGCGGCAUGCCUUACACAUGCAAGUCGAACGGUAACGCGGGGGCAACCCUGGCGACGAGUGGCGAACGGGUGAGUAAUACAUCGGAACAUAUCCAGUAGCGGGGGAUAACCUAUCGAAAGAUGGACUAAUACCGCAUACGAUCUACGGAUGAAAGCAGGGGACCGCAAGGCCUUGCACUAUUGGAGUGGCCGAUGUCGGAUUAGCUAGUUGGUGGGGUAAAAGCUUACCAAGGCGACGAUCCGUAGCUGGUCUGAAGGACGAUCAGCCACACUGGAACUGAGACACGGUCCAGACUCCUACGGGAGGCAGCAGUGGGGAAUUUUGGACAAUGGGCGCAAGCCUGAUCCAGCCAUGCCGCGUGAGUGAAGAAGGCCUUCGGGUUGUAAAGCUCUUUCGGUGAAGACGAAACGGUUCAUGCUAAUAACGUGAACUAAUGACGGUACUCACAGAAGAAGCACCGGCUAACUACGUGCCAGCAGCCGCGGUAAUACGUAGGGUGCAGGCGUUAAUCGGAAUUACUGGGCGUAAAGCGUGCGCAGGCGGUUUGCUAAGACAGGUGUGAAAUCCCCGGGCUUAACCUGGGAAUUGCGCUUGUAACUGGCAAGCUAGAGUGUGGCAGAGGGGGGUGGAAUUCCACGUGUAGCAGUGAAAUGCGUAGAUAUGUGGAGGAACACCGAUGGCGAAGGCAGCCCCCUGGGUUAACACUGACGCUCAUGCACGAAAGCGUGGGGAGCAAACAGGAUUAGAUACCCUGGUAGUCCACGCCCUAAACUAUGUCAACUAGUUGUCGGGGAAGAAAUUCCUUGGUAACGAAGCUAACGCGUGAAGUUGACCGCCUGGGGAGUACGGCCGCGAGGUUAAAACUCAAAGGAAUUGACGGGGACCCGCACAAGCGGUGGAUUAUGUGGAUUAAUUCGAUGCAACGCGAAAAACCUUACCUACCCUUGACAUGCUAGGAAGCCCGCAGAGAUGUGGGUGUGCCCGAAAGGGAACCUAGACACAGGUGCUGCAUGGCUGUCGUCAGCUCGUGUCGUGAGAUGUUGGGUUAAGUCCCGCAACGAGCGCAACCCUUGCCAUUAGUUGCUACAUUCAGUUGGGCACUCUAAUGGGACCGCCGGUGACAAACCGGAGGAAGGUGGGGAUGACGUCAAGUCCUCAUGGCCCUUAUGGGUAGGGCUUCACACGUAAUACAAUGGUCGGUACAGAGGGCUGCCAACCCGCAAGGGGGAGCUAAUCCCAGAAAGCCGAUCGUAGUCCGGAUUGUAGUCUGCAACUCGACUGCAUGAAGCCGGAAUCGCUAGUAAUCGCGGAUCAGCAUGUCGCGGUGAAUACGUUCCCGGGUCUUGUACACACCGCCCGUCACACCAUGGGAGUGGGUUCCACCAGAAGUAGUUAGCCUAACCGCAAGGAGGGCGAUUACCACGGUGAGAUUCAUGACUGGGGUGAAGUCGUAACAAGGUA
rnacentral:rRNA from 1 species